AUUUCCCAUGAUAUUUUCAGACAAUUUGACACAAAGAAGCGUGGGUUGGACGAAAUUAAGAAAAAAUACUACAAUAUUAAAUCAAGAAGCAAAGAGAAGUUAGACAGUUUCAAAAGGCCCAAGACUGGAGGAGGCCCUCCUGAACCCCCACUUACUGCUGGAGAAGAGACAUUUUUGAGGUUAUCUGAGAGUGAACCAAGUGUCCACGGUUUGGAUGGAUAAGUUGAUACAGAUGCCCCUACAUUCCAAGUCUCAGAAGUGAAUGAGAGCCAGUUGCAAUCUUCACCACAA